rnacentral:lncRNA from 1 species
CGCCACCAACUCUCGCGGGAGUCUCGGGUAUCGCAAAGCACCGAAUUGCUUUACGGCUUUUCUAAAUAAACAAGAACCUGGAUUCGGGGAUUCAGCCUGUAUCUGGGAGACGAGACAGACGAACAGCAAAACAACCAUCAAAACAAACAUGUUUGGUAGCGAGUACGCUAACACCCCAGCAAGCAAGCAAGCUAGAAACAUACAGGGCUCACAACAAAACGGUUCCGCAAACACAUUUUUACAGAGGCUAUCAACAUCAAGAAGCCACAAUACAAAAAGGACACAGUUCACCCAAGGGUACUUACAAUUUCAAGAGCAACAGCGGGGAGCUCAUAGGGAUUGGGCUUCUCGGGAGUCGGGGUUUGUUUACCGGCGUUGCUAUGGGUUCCGGUCUUGUGUGUUCCAACGGUUUAUUAGGUAGGUCUAUCUAAUAAAUGAUGUCUUCGUGCGCGCCUAUCGCAUGAUUUUAGACUCAACGAUUUCGGUUGAGUAUGUGGGGAUUUUUUCAGUCGCAAUUGGUUUGCACAUUUUUAAAAGUGGUGGGGACAAAAUUCGUAUUUCAAAUAAUGGGGGGGACAUGUCCCCCCCGUAAUCGACGCCUAUGGCUGUACCCCACCACCUGAUGCUGCUGCACCCCACCACCUGAUGCUGCUGUACCCCACCACCUGAUGCUGCUGCACCCCACCACCUGAUGCUGCUGUACCCCACCACCUGAUGCUGCUGUACCCCACCACCUGAUGCCAGGUGACCCCCACAUCACCACUUGCCAUGAACACCGCACCACCUAAACCAUUAAUUUACACCGCUCCAUGUCCAAUGAAGUCAUACAUAUUGGCACAUAUUUCUGAUCGUUAAAUAUGUUUGAAGUAAAUUUUGGAACUGCAUAGUAAACUACACAUUUGUUUAAUUAAAACAAAUGCAUCUAAACUGUAAAGUUUAAAUGCCAGUUCUGAAUUAACUACCUAUCAACUACCUACAUAUCUGAUCCAAUGACCUAAUGCAUUCUAGACAUUUGUCUUUGUCUGCCAUGGUGCUGAGGUUCAUCUUGGCCACCUUAUAGCAAAUGGCUGAUAUUACAAAGGUUGAAUUGCCCUACUGGCACAACUGCAAAAAGAUAAGCUAUUCAUGUGAUUAACUUAUUUCACACGAUGCAGAAAGAUAAGCUAUUCAUGUAAUUUAUUUAUUUCAUAGAAUGUAUCCUAAAAUAACGAUGCUCCACAACCUCAAAAGCAUCGGAAGUUAAUCUCGUGUACCUUCCGUAAACACUGCGGCGACCUCACGCUACCGGAAACCAGAAGAAAUCAGUCCGGGAAGUAAAGGAAUUCAGUUUUCAAAGUAAAACCACAUUCUCUUCAUACUUCACCUCAACUGUUAUUAAGGU